UACAGAGGGUGCGAGCGUUAAUCGGAAUUACUGGGCGUAAAGCGCGCGUAGGCGGCCAUUCAAGUCAGAGGUGAAAGCCCGGAGCUUAACUCCGGAACUGCCUUUGAAACUGUAUGGCUUGAGUGUCGGAGGGGAUAGCGGAAUUGCUAAUGUAGAGGUGAAAUUCGUAGAUAUUAGCAGGAACACCGGUGGCGAAGGCGGCUAUCUGGACGACAACUGACGCUGAGGCGCGAAAGCGUGGGGAUCAAACAGGG
rnacentral:rRNA from 1 species